rnacentral:rRNA from 1 species
GCCCUAGUAACGGCGAGUGAAGCGGCAACAGCUCAAAUUUGAAAUCUGGCCCUCGGGUCCGAAUUGUAAUUUGUAGAGGAUGCUUUUGGUGCGGUGCCUUCCGAGUUCCCUGGAACGGGACGCCAGAGAGGGUGAGAGCCCCGUACGGUUGGACACCUACCCUAUAUAUAGCUCCUUCGACGAGUCGAGUAGUUUGGGAAUGCUGCUCUAAAUGGGAGGUAAAUUUCUUCUAAAGCUAAAUACCGGCCAGAGACCGAUAGCGCACAAGUAGAGUGAUCGAAAGAUGAAAAGCACUUUGAAAAGAGGGUUAAAUAGCACGUGAAAUUGUUGAAAGGGAAGCGUUUGUGACCAGACUUUUUCUCAGUGGAUCAUCCGGUGUUCUCACCGGUGCACUUCACUGGGUUUAGGCCAGCAUCGGUUUCCGGAGGGGGACAAAAGCCUGGGGAAUGUGGCUCUUUCGGGAGUGUUAUAGCCCCUAGCAUAAUACCUCUCCUGGGGACCGAGGACCGCGCUUCGGCAAGGAUGCUGGCGUAAUGGUUAUCAACGACCCGUCUUGAAACACGGACCAAGGAGUCGAACAUUUGUGCGAGUGUUUGGGUAUCAAACCCUCACGCGUAAUGAAAGUGAACGGAGGUGAGAGCCCUUCGGGGUGCAUCAUCGACCGAUCCUGAUGUCUUCGGAUGGAUUUGAGUAAGAGCAUAACUGUUCGGACCCGAAAGAUGGUGAACUAUGCGUGGAUAGGGUGAAGCCAGAGGAAACUCUGGUGGAGGCUCGCAGCGGUUCUGACGUGCAAAUCGAUCGUCAAAUCUGCGCAUGGGGGCGAAAGAC